rnacentral:lncRNA from 1 species
CAUCUCUUUACUUGAUCUGCAGCUGUGCAGCUCCCAUACGCUUAUGCAUCGGUUCUUAGAAAAUAACAGAACAAUGCUUUAGAAAAGUAAUCUCCUAAUAAAUAUGCCUCGACCUCUUCUAGGAGGCUAUCAAAAUUCAGAGCACAUUGAAAUCAACUGGAAUGCACAGAACUGAUGAAUCAAUGUAUGAAGUUCAUAAUUUGGUAAACAAUUUUUUAAUUAACUGGCUUGUAUUUCACCAUCACAAAACUAAUUGACAAUAUGUGAUGCUUGUUGGCUUCGACAUCUGAUGAAUUCUUUUAUGAUGAUGAGUGUCUUUGUUUUUAAUUACAGGUGUGAGUAUGAAAUAGAGUGCUCGACUAUUACAUUCUCAUUGCCGAUCAUUUCUUGAUUUGAAGUCGCCUCUGACUCGUACUUGGUAUCUCCUUAAGUGUCUACGCCGCAAUUUUGACUCAAUGUUGCUUAAGUAUUUGAGUCAACACUGAUAGCGGAUGAUAGAUGGCCAAACCUGUGGGCACUGUGGCAAUCAAGUACCUGUCUAAGACUACUUUUAGAAAUUUUGUUGAACUAUCGACAAAAUAAAGAGAUGUUUAGUAUGAAUCACUCGUCAAAAAGUCAGGUUCAAAUACGAGAUUUCUUGUAUAAGGACAUUUUUUUGUUUUUUUUUUAAUUGGGAUGGCAGUUUUAAUCCUUGGAAAGGCGCUUCGUUAUUAGCCUACUUACUGAAAUUCUAUUGAUGCUAUCAUCUUUGGGAGAGAAAUGUUCUACUUUAGUCACUCCUCUAGUGGCCAUAAGCGAUUUUAAUAGUUUAGUUAGUAUCAAAGAACAUGGUUGUUUAUAAGUAUCAGGGUUCACUAUUUUUCGUGGUUUCAAAUAAACAAAUUGUG